rnacentral:rRNA from 1 species
GAGUUUGAUCGUGGCUCAGAUUGAACGCUGGCGGCAUGCCUUACACAUGCAAGUCGAACGGCAGCAUGAUCUAGCUUGCUAGAUUGAUGGCGAGUGGCGAACGGGUGAGUAAUACAUCGGAACGUGCCCUGUAGUGGGGGAUAACUAGUCGAAAGAUUAGCUAAUACCGCAUACGACCUGAGGGCGAAAGUGGGGGACCGCAAGGCCUCAUGCUAUAGGAGCGGCCGAUGUCUGAUUAGCUAGUUGGUGGGGUAAAGGCCCACCAAGGCGACGAUCAGUAGCUGGUCUGAGAGGACGAUCAGCCACACUGGGACUGAGACACGGCCCAGACUCCUACGGGAGGCAGCAGUGGGGAAUUUUGGACAAUGGGCGAAGGCCUGAUCCAGCAAUGCCGCGUGUGUGAAGAAGGCCUCGGUGUAAG